AUACGUAGGUGGCAAGCGUUGUCCGGAAUUACUGGGUGUAAAGGGAGCGUAGGCGGGAAUGCAAGUUGAAUGUUAAAACUAUGGGCUUAACCCAUAUCUGCGUUCAAAACUGUAUUUCUUGAGUGAAGUAGAGGUAGGCGGAAUUCCUAGUGUAGCGGUGAAAUGCGUAAAUAUUAGGAGGAACACCAGUGGCGAAGGCGGCUUGCUGGACAAAUACUGACGCUGAGGUGCGAAAGCGUGGGGAGC
rnacentral:rRNA from 1 species